rnacentral:misc_RNA from 2 species
AAGUCGUAACAAGGUCUCCGUUGGUGAACCAGCGGAGGGAUCAUUACCAGAGAGUUGCAAAACUCCCUUAUAACCCUUUGUGAACCUCACCCGUUCCGUAGUGUCUCCGGCAGGUAUCCCCAGGGGAGGGGACCUGUGCCACCAGGCGCCUGCCGGAGGGCUCAACACAAACUCUUUUAUGGCGUCUGCCGCUGCUGUCUGAGGCACUAUAGAAAUAAAUCAAAACUUUCAACAACGGAUCUCUUGGUUCUG